rnacentral:rRNA from 1 species
UAGAGUUUGAUCCUGGCUCAGAUUGAACGCUGGCGGAAUGCUUUACACAUGCAAGUCGAACGGCAGCACGGGAGCUUGCUCCUGGUGGCGAGUGGCGAACGGGUGAGUAACAUAUCGGAACGUACCUAGUAAUGGGGGAUAACUAGUCGAAAGAUUAGCUAAUACCGCAUACGCCCUGAGGGGGAAAGCGGGGGAUCGUAAGACCUCGCGUUAUUAGAGCGGCCGAUAUCUGAUUAGCUAGUUGGUGGGGUAAAAGCCUACCAAGGCGACGAUCAGUAGCUGGUCUGAGAGGAUGAUCAGCCACACUGGAACUGAGACACGGUCCAGACUCCUACGGGAGGCAGCAGUGGGGAAUUUUGGACAAUGGGCGCAAGCCUGAUCCAGCCAUUCCGCGUGAGUGAAGAAGACCUUCGGGUUGUAAAGCUCUUUCGCAAGGGAAGAAAACUUACCUUUUAAUAGAGGGUGAGGUUGACGGUACCUUGAUAAGAAGCACCGGCUAACUACGUGCCAGCAGCCGCGGUAAUACGUAGGGUGCGAGCGUUAAUCGAAUUACUGGCGUAAAGCGUGCGCAGCGGUUUGUAAGUCAGAUGUGAAAGCCCGGCUCAC